UGAGGAAUCUGUCCAUCGGCGGGGGAUAGCCGGCCCAACGGCCGGGUAAUACCGCGUACGACCACAUGGGGACAUCCCUGAGUGGUGAAAGCAGCAAUGCGCCGAUAGAGUGCCUCGCGGCCUAUCAGCUAGUUGGUGAGGUAACGGCUCACCAAGGCAACGGACGGGUAGCUGGUCUGAGAGGAUGGCCAGCCACAGUUGGGACUGAGACACGGCCCAGACUCCGUAACGGGG
rnacentral:rRNA from 1 species